rnacentral:ribozyme from 1 species
GUUGGUAUGUCUAAGGCCUGGGUGGAGCGCUCGCCGGCUGCGAAAAUGGUGGUGGAUGAGGCCGAAGCUUACUUCAAGCGUGAGGGAUUCCUCGGCGGGGACUCGUUGGGGUCCAUCAUGUUUGGUGGUCCAAAAGAACGUCUCGACCGAACCGACAUCGCGCAACCGGCAAUAUUUGUGGCCUCGUACGCCUGCUACAAGGGCUUUCUUGAGGUAGGCAAUGCCCCAGC